AGAGUGGGUUUCUAGAAGUACAGCUA
rnacentral:piRNA from 1 species